rnacentral:rRNA from 1 species
CCUACGGGAGGCUGCAGUAGGGAAUCUUCCACAAUGGGCGAAAGCCUGAUGCAGCAACGCCGCGUGGGUUAAGAAGGUCUUCGGAUCGUAAAACCCUUUUGUUAGAGAAGAAAGUGCGUGAGAGUAACUGUUCACGUUUCGACGGCAUCUAACCAGAAGGCCCCGUCUAACUACGUGCGAGCAGCCGCGGUAAUACGGAGGUGGCAAUCGUUAUCCGGGUUUAUUGGGCGUAAAGGGAGCGCAGGCGGUAUUUUAAGCCUGAUGUGAAAACCUUCGGCUUAACCGGAGUAGUGCAUUGGAAACUGGGAGACUUGAGUGUAGAAGAGGAGAGUGGAACUCCAGGUGUAGCGGUGAAAUGCGUAGAGAUAUGGAAGAACACCAGUGGCGAAGGCGGCUCUCUGGUCUGUAACUGACGCUGAGGUGCGAAAGCGUGGGGAGCAAACAGGAUUAGAUACCCGGGUAGUC